CCACAUUUUGAUUCUGCGCCGCCGUGCUUCACCCUCGCCCCUCGCCUCGUCACGAAGGAGUCAUCGCCAUUAGCAUCAUCGGAAUGUCGUUGGAACUGUUGCAAGACGUUUGAACGGUCUCCGCGCUCGCUCGUCCAUUUGUGAACAAAGGAGGCCAUGAUUUUGGGUCGUAUGGGGUAAGCUGUGUGAUCGAAGUGUGUGAUUAAGCUUCACUUGUAUUCACACCAUGACUGUUGGCUUUUGUUGUUUGUUUGGAGCAGCGGCUGCAGUGUUGCGUCCCGUCAGGCCAUGAAAGAAGGAAGGAGGAUAUGAUUUUGCGUCGUAAUGGGUUUUUGUUGUUUGUUCGGAGCAGCGGCUGCAGUGUCGCGUCCCGUCAGGCUCUACUUUGCUGAACACUAAGCUGGGUGAACCAACUUUGUUGUUGCUAUGACCGUAUUACUCAGUUUUACUCACUUGUGUUUGAACGUUACUAAUUUGCGAUUGCACGCCCUAUUUCAGACACAUAUCUCUCCAGCGCUUCAGAGACGUCGCUGGCGCCGAAAUUCUAGCUGUUUCACCGUGGGUCGCCAGAAGAACAGCAGAUCAUUGACUGUCAAUUGUGCGACGCGACACUCUGUGGCACGAAGGAUGUGUACGUGUGAAAUACGUAACUACUGUGUGCGGGGGAUGUUUUGUAUGAUUGUGUCGACACUGGAUACCACUUUCAAGGUAUGCAUUUUCGGAAUAAAGUAGAUACAUAUAUAA